rnacentral:rRNA from 1 species
CAAUAGCGUAUAUUAAAGUUGUUGCAGUUAAAAAGCUCGUAGUUGGAUUUGUGGCGUACGGUGUGUUCCGGGCACUUGUUGUCUGAGUAACCUGCUGUUGCCAUCCUUGGGUGGAACCUGUGUGGCAUUAGGUUGUCGUGCAGGGGAUGCCCAUCAUUUACUGUGAAAAAAUUAGAGUGUUCAAAGCAGGCUUAUGCCGUUGAAUAUAUUAGCAUGGAAUAAUGAGAUAGGACUUUUUUGCUAUUUUGUUGGUUUGCGCAAAGAGGUAAUGAUUAAUAGGGACAGUUGGGGGUAUUCGUAUUCCAUUGUCAGAGGUGAAAUUCUUGGAUUUUUGGAAGACGAACUACUGCGAAAGCAUUUACCAAGGAUGUCUUCAUUAA